rnacentral:sRNA from 1 species
UUUCUGCCCAUGCGGGGAAGGAUGAGAAGCUUCGACCAAGGUUCGACUCGAGCGCCAGCGAGAGAGCGUUGCCGCAGGCAACGACCCGAAGGGCGAAGCGCGCAGCGCUGAGUAAUCCUUCCCCCACCACCA